rnacentral:rRNA from 1 species
AUUGAACGCUAGCGGGAUGCCUUACACAUGCAAGUCGAACGGAGUGGCGAACGGGUGAGUAAUGUAUCGGAACGUGCCCAGUAGCGGGGGAUAACUACGCGAAAGCGUAGCUAAUACCGCAUACUAUUGGAGCGGCCGAAAUCGGAUUAGCUAGUUGGGGGGGUAACGGCUCACAAAGGCGACGGUCCGUAGCGGGUUUGAGAGGACGACCAGCCACACUGGGACGGAGACAGGGCCCAGAAUCCUACGGGAGGCAGCAGUGGGGAAUUUUGGACAAUGGGGGAAGCCCUGAUCCAGCAAUCCCGGGUGUGCGAUGAAGGCCUUCGGGUGGAAAAGCACUUUUGGCAGGAAAGCGGUACCUGCAUAAUAAGCACCGGCUAACUACGUGCCAGCAGCCGCGGUAAUUC